AGACAAAUAGUUAGUGGAAGUUUUUUUUUUUAUUAGAAAUAAAUGAAGUGGGCAAGCCACUUUCAUGAUGUUGCCAGGAAUGAGUGGCAUAAAAUAGAAGUUUUUUUUGGUUUACACGGAAAGAAGGCAAAAGAUAGAAAAGAGAAGGAAACAGGCGAGAGGAAUUGUGAGAUUUCUAUUCCAAAUUAGGAUGUGUUCUUGAGUAUACAUUUGUUUCAGUGCUUGCCUAUUUUCCCAUUCCCAUAUAUAUAAGUAGGGUUUGACAUGCCAAAAUAUAACAUUAAAAACAAAUUAGAGCAAAAGUGACUGGACGGCGUCAACAACAAACAAUUGAAGGCUUCAGAUUUUGAUCAUUCAGAGGCUCUACGCAAAGGGAAGGCAUUAGUUUGAUUGUUCGUGGCACCCGCUCGGCAUUGAGAGUACGAUCCAGGCUCCAGUUCUACACCCCGUGGCUGAUACGCGAGGGUGAUAUCUUUCAAUCAUUCAGGGUGAGAUACUUGUCAUCCGUGGCCCCUGAAGGACCUCCUCUAUUUCUUUCUGUUUUUGUGUUCGACAGACAAUAUGUAGCCUUCGGGUAUUUUCAGACUUCUAUUCCGUACUAUGUUAGUGCUCUUGUACCCUUGACCAG